UACGUAGGUGGCAAGCGUUGUCCGGAUUUACUGGGCGUAAAGGGCGCGUAGGCGGCACUGUUAGUCAGGCGUGAAAUUCCUGGGCUCAACCUGGGGACUGCGCUUGAUACGGCAGAGCUUGAGGAUGGAAGAGGGUCGCGGAAUUCCCAGUGUAGAGGUGAAAUUCGUAGAUAUUGGGAAGAACACCGGUGGCGAAGGCGGCGACCUGGUCCAUUACUGACGCUGAGGCGCGACAGCGUGGGGGAGCAAACAGG
rnacentral:rRNA from 1 species